rnacentral:lncRNA from 1 species
GUGACAUUGAAAAGAAAUGAAAAGGAAUUCAUUGAUCCCAUAAAUAUUGAGUGAACAUUUAUUUGAGAUUUUACUUAUUUGUUGGAGAGAGAGAGAGCACACAAGCAGAAGGAGCAGCAGGCAGAGGGAGAAGCAGACUCCCUGCUGACCAAGGAGCUGGAUGUGGGACUCGAUCCCAGGACCUUGGGAUCGUGACCUGAGCUGAAGGCAGCCACUUAACCAACUGAGCCACCCAGGUGUUCCCAGACUGCCAUUAUCUUUAAGAAAUAUAUUAAAGGUCAGAUGAAAAUUUUUUGUUUUAUUUUGUUUUGUUUUAGUUCAUAGAUAAAAAAUUUCACAUUU